rnacentral:rRNA from 1 species
GGACUACUGGGGUAUCUAAUCCUGUUUGCUCCCCUAGCUUUCGUCCCUCAGCGUCAGUUGUGAUCCAGCGAGCCGCUUUCGCCUCGGAUGUUCCUGCGGAUAUCUACGCAUUUCACCGCUACACCCGCAAUUCCACUCGCCUAUCUCACACUCUAGCACGGCAGUUUCGAAAGCAGCCUCUGAGUUAAGCCCAGAGAUUUCACUCCCGACUUACCACACCGCCUACGGACCCUUUACGCCCAGUAAUUCCGAGCAACGCUGGCCCCCUACGUAUUACCGCGGCUGCUGGCAC